rnacentral:rRNA from 1 species
GAUGAACGCUGGCGGCGUGCCUAAUACAUGCAAGUCGAGCGAACGGACGAGAAGCUUGCUUCUCUGAUGUUAGCGGCGGACGGGUGAGUAACACGUGGAUAACCUACCUAUAAGACUGGGAUAACUUCGGGAAACCGUAGCUAAUACCGGAUAAUAUUUUGAACCGCAUGGUUCAAAAGUGAAAGACGGUCUUGCUGUCACUUAUAGAUGGAUCCGCGCUGCAUUAGCUAGUUGGUAAGGUAACGGCUUACCAAGGCAACGAUGCGUAGCCGACCUGAGAGGGUGAUCGGCCACACUGGAACUGAGACACGGUCCAGACUCCUACGGGAGGCAGCAGUAGGGAAUCUUCCGCAAUGGGCGAAAGCCUGACGGAGCAACGCCGCGUGAGUGAUGAAGGUCUUCGGAUCGUAAAACCCUGUUAUUAGGGAAGAACAUAUGUGUAAGUAACUGUGCACAUCUUGACGGUACCUAAUCAGAAAGCCACGGCUAACUACGUG